rnacentral:rRNA from 1 species
GACGAACGCUGGCGGCGUGCUUAACACAUGCAAGUCGAACGGAAAGGCCCUGCUUUUGUGGGGUGCUCGAGUGGCGAACGGGUGAGUAACACGUGUGUAACCUGCCCUUGACUUUGGGAUAAAUUCAGGAAACUGGGGCUAUUACCGGAUAGGAGCUCCUGAUGCACGUGGGUGGUUGGAAAGUUUCGGCGGUUGGGGAUGGUUUCGCGGGUUAUCAGCUUGUUGGUGGGGUAGGGGCGUACGAAGGCUUUGAGGGGUAGCCGGCCUCAGAGGGUGACCGGCGACAUUGGGACUGAGAUACGGCCCAGACUCCUACGGGAGGCAGCAGUGGGGAAUAUUGCGCAAUGGGCGGAAGCCUGAUGCAGCAACGCCGCGUGCGGGAUGACGGCUUUCGGGUUGUAAACCGCUUUGGCCUGUGACGAAGCGUGAGUGACGGUAAUGGGUAAAGAAGCACCGGCUAACUACGUG